UAUAACAAUUCUGCUUUCAUUCAUAUAAUUACAGUACAGGUUAUGAUUUAUGUGAUCAUUCUGGCUGGUGAUUUUGGGUUUACAGGUAAGAAAAUGUAAAACAUCUACUCAUUGUACCA